rnacentral:lncRNA from 1 species
AUUCAAGAGGAUAAUAAAAUGAAGUAUCUGGACAAUAUAGAUAAAGUCUUAAUUGAGAACUCUAACAUCACCUUCUGUCUUAAAGCUUGAAUGUUGUACUGGAAAAGUAGAGUAGAUGAUGUUGAAGCAAAUGUUGGAGGUGAAUUUUUGUCUAGCUGCAUUUUUUGUUCCCAUUGUUUGCCAAAAAGCCUUAGAUCAUUUUUGCUUUACUAAUGUGCAGUUUUAUGCUCUUGCCAUAGUAUAAAUUUUGCUUUCAAUUUUUUCUUACAAAGCCUAUGUGAGUCUUUUGUGUAAAAUUCUUUGGUCAUCUUGAUCUCCAAUUUGUCUGUAUAUUUCAUUGUCUUGAACUAAACUCAACUUUUUGCUAUAUUAAUCUUCGUGAAUCAUACUAAUGUACUUUUGUAUCUGAUCAUAGUAAAGUUGAAUCUUGUAGAUUGUGCAUGUUAGAUCCUGGAUCUGCCAUGCUCAACAUAUGGCUAUUUCAGCUUUCCAAAUGGA